rnacentral:lncRNA from 1 species
GCUUGUGGCUGCACCUACAUAUCCUAAUCCUAUUAUGAGUGUGCCCAAUUCGGCGUUAACGCCGAAUCACUUUGUCACACCACCCAUAGGAGCAAGCAUGUUUGGUCUUCCGCCGAAUUAUGGUUCGGCGCCCAUCCCACAAGUUGCACCAAUAGCUAGUACUCAGGUUGCUCCUAUGUCAUUGCCACAAACAUCUUCAUCUACCUCGGAUCCAAUUUUAGCUAAAUUAAGGGAGGAUUUGCAUAAGAUGUUUCUAGAAACUUUGGGAAACGAGCCGAAAGUAAAUAGUCGUGUGUAUCAAAAGCCUUAUUCUGAACACUUCGAUGCAAUUUCUUACCAGUAAAUAAUUAUUGGCAAACUCAGCUCAUAGAAACAAGCAAUUCAACCAUUCUGUGGGUAAACCAAAAGCACCACUGGAAAUUUUUCACUACUCCAAUCAUACACGCAAAAAGGGGCGACGCCACCGUAGGGGCUGGUAUGGGCGGCCGCCUCGGGUGGCUAGAAAUUUGAGUCGCCCAGGUUGGCCUAGACUAGUUUUGUUCGUCCCAACGCACGAGCAGGCAAUGUAAAAAAUGAAGAAAAAUGUUUCAAUUUGGAUGGGCCAAUAACGUAAGUGCAAGGCAUGCCCUAUAGCCGGCUCGCGGUCCAAAUGAGCACCUCCCAUAUCGAUCGACAGCAGGAAAAAUCCCAAUUCGUUCGCUCCAGCCUCCAGUAUGGUUCACUCCUAACCUAGCCGCUGCUGGACAGACCGACACAGCACUUCCUCGCGCCCUCGUUGGACGCGCCGAUCGCCGGGCCUCAAGCGAAUGGAAGGACAAGAAGAUGAAGAUCCAACCCUGGGUGUAGCAUGCGUGGGAGGCAGCGACAACAUCACGGGCAUGGCAUCGAGCUUGCGCAAACGGACAGUCGCAGCUUGCAAGAGCAGCAUGCGGAACGAGCAGGUACAUCACAUCCCUGAUUAUAUCUAAUUCAGCUAUUCAAUUUCUGGCCAAUAGUUAAACCUGUUGUUGUAAAACUGCUUGUAUGUAGGGAAUCUAUGGGAAAAUGAAACCAAUUUCUGCUUAUUUUAUAACUCCCCCAAUCAAUACUGAACUGACUGAACCUGAUAUAUCUAAUCAAGUUUCCGGUGCAAACAUACAAGCUCAUGUUGUUCUUGAGCAUGAAGUGUCUAAUGGACAGAAUGCUAAUGAAAGAUUUGAUGCAAACAUUUUACAUGCUACUGGUGAUGAACAUGUAGUGUCUAAUGAUGGAUCUAAUGCAAGAAUUUUGCAAGCUCCCAUUGAAGGAUUUAGUGUCUAAUGAUGAUCUGCUGUGUUGCUAGAGACAUAGAGAUUUGCAGGCAUUGAUGACAAGCAAAUUAUAGUACAUUUUCAUAGCUUGAGGAAACAUCGAGGCCAUCUGCCAGAAAGUGCCCGUAUCAAAACAACGUAGCAUUAAAUACUUUUCUAGUAUGUUGUUUGAAACUAUUGGCAUAGAUAGAUAUACUGAUAUGCAGUUUGCGCACUGGUUAUAGGUGCAAUUACACUUCGAUAUUUUCAGCCAGAGAACGAAUAAUUCAAGCAGGUACAAACCAUGUUAGUAGUUCUUGUACACCAUGUUGCAUUUUGUGUUUUUUGGUGCUUACAUCAUUUAUUGUUUUAUAAUCUGGAACUACUUUGGAUCAGAAGCUGGUUUUCGAAGUGCAUGUAGCUUCACAUUUCUUCAGGGACGAAGCUCACGUACAAGGACUGGUGUCAAAUGACACCAAUGCCGAUCGUAACCUCAAACUAAUCUUGUCAAAAAGAUUUGUCCCAGCCAAAAAACACGAUUGACCCCAGCCCAGCCACCUGUCCGUAUAGAAGCAAAAAGGCUCAGCCUAGUUCCAGCCCAGCCAUAGAAGCCCAAAGUCACUAAAAAUUAUGUGGUCAUUCCACAAAAUUCCACAUGUCGCCGCACACACAGCCAUAAAUACCCAUGAGCCUGAAUACCCAUUAUGUAAUACUUGCACACGGCCCAAAAGCAGUCGUUCCUAAUUUUCUUCUUUUGUAUAGAGUUGUUCUUAAUUUCUAAUUUCUUAUAUGCUGAUGUAUGCGUGAGUCUACAUCUCUUCGUCCCAUCGCCUCCUCUCAAUCCCUAAUUCCCAAAUCCCCCAUAUCCAUAUGAAAAUUCCAUGCUGGUCUCUGGUGGAAUUCCAGAGAGACGAGCCGCCAAAUCAGCGGGAUUUUGGUCUAAUCUGUUGCACGAUUGUGCGGCAUAACCUGGUGCCAAUCCACCAAGCCUAGAUCGGUUCUUCUCAGGUAUGCCUCGUGACGCACAUGUGUAUUAGAUUUAGUCUUUAGACUAAAUUUCGCUACCGAACUAAUUUGAAAAUUUUGCUGUUCUCUUCCUUGAUUCAUGUACAACUAGGAGGUUAUGGACAUAUUUUUGUUAAAACGGCCACUACCAUCAGAUGCAGCAGGGACUUCAAGGCCACUUAGACUUAGGCAAGAUAAUGGUCAUAUAUCAAGUGUUUGUAUUAUUACUCCAGCUAAAAUAAAUUUAGAUGAUCUUCCUCCCGAUCCAGCUGAUUGAAAAAGAAUAUCAUAGUACGCGAAGAAUCAUAAGAAGCAAGACGAGAUUAGAUGGAGAUAUUUAACUAGAUGACUUUACAUGCCACAAGAAGUCUUUAAAUAUCCGCACAAGACAAUAGUAGGAUUUGAACAAAAAAAUAAUCUAGAAUGGUUUAAAGACUAUCAUUGCCUAGAGUGGUAAUGUGCAUAAGGCAUUUUGUUUGUGUUGCUAUCUAUUCAUACUUUCAUAGAUUGCAUCGACGACCAAGGUGGUAAUGAUGCAUUUGUUGUUAAUGGUUUCUCUAAUUGGAAUAAGAAAAGCAGACUAGAUAAUCAUGUGGGUGAGGAGUUCAUGAGUGAUUGCCUGAUUUUGUACGUGAUGAAGGAUAUAUUUUCUAGAAUUACGAAUGAUAUUGUGAUGGAUCUAUUUAAGAAGAUGAAAGAUCGAGAAGAAAAGUUAUAAAAUGUGAGCCCCGUGUCACUUCAUAUUUUGCUUAAUGAUGUUUAUUUUCUGUAUUACUUGUUUUGUACCAUUGUUGUAAAUAUAAUAUGUUCUGUCGUUCAUUCUUUUCAGGAAGAAACAACUAAAAUUCUUGAAGUCACCAUUUUGCUUAUUAUUUUCUGACUAUGUCAAGAAGUGGCUAUACGACUUCACUCAGCGCGUGCUUGGUAUGACAAUUUUUUAUGUAAUGAUAAUAUUGUUGGAUCAUCGCAUGUUUUUGCUCUUUGUCCGCUCUCUAACAUUAUGUGUGCUGCACCGCUAUAGUUUGUGCUAGAGUGGGCAGAGCUUGACACCAGUGCCCAUUUUUUCUAGCUUCGUCCCUGCAUUUCUCAAGUUAUGUUGAUUUCUGGAGUGCAAGUGCCUUCGUAUAUUUUAAAUUAAAUUUUCGCCUUGGUAACUUGAAUUCGUGGAUCCGCCACUGCACACAAAUCAUACACACAUGCCAGUAGGAAUUAAAUGGAAUGCAGGGACUUACGCUAGCUCGUUGUAUUGGCUCACUGCAGCUCUGCUUGCGCUUGGGAUGUUCCAUGUACAAGUCCAUGUUACCACUUGCUUGGAUGUGUAGGCCUUAUGCUCCUUGCAUCCCCCUCUACAUUUUUGACAUAGUGAAUGGUUGAUCAAAUAAGAG